rnacentral:rRNA from 1 species
UACGUAGGUGGCAAGCGUUGUCCGGAUUUAUUGGGUUUAAAGGGUGCGUAGGCGGCCUUGUAAGUCAGUGGUGAAAUACUCCAGCUUAACUGGAGGGGUGCCAAUGAUACUGCAGGGCUUGAGUACAGAUGAGGUAGGCGGAAUUGACGGUGUAGCGGUGAAAUGCAUAGAUAUCGUCAAGAACACCGAUAGCGAAGGCAGCUUACUGGGCUGUAACUGACGCUGAGGCACGAAAAGUGUGGGGAGUCAAAACAGG